AACUUGGUAAGGAAGAAAAAGAAAUCUGGUCAAGAUGUCCAAAGCAACUCCGAACGUAUAUGUCAACAAUAUGUUCAAUGAAGGAAUAACAGACGAUGGUGAAGACUAUGAAGACUGCUUUAGUCCUGAGGAUCAAUCCGAUUACGAAGACGUGAACCCGAUUCCUAAAAGUAGUCCUCUUAAAACUAACGUUAAUAUUGCACACAAUAUAACCAACAAUCAGUCCAUACAAGAUAAUUUUCGCAGUCUAAUGAAGCAAGUUCCAGGGCGUUUGCUAUUAUUAAUUAUUUGCUUUCUGCUCACAAUAACCGUAUCCAAUGUUGUCACCUUCAAAACAACAAAAAACAAGUUUUCGGAAAAGAAAACACAGCACUUAUUAUGCAGUUCACUCCCUUGUUUGAAUGGAGGCUUAUGUGUAAAUGACGAGGAACAAUACUAUUGUAGCUGUACUCGGGGUUUCUCCGGUAAAAACUGUGAAGUGACACCUUGUACCGGAUUUAACUGUUUAAACGGAGGUUCAUGUGAAGUGUUGAAUGGCACGUUUCUCUGUUUAUGCAAGUCCGGCUUUACAGGGCUGUUUUGUGAAG